UAAGGCCAUAGCUGAACCAACUUUUCAAAGGAGUGGGUUAGAUUAAAUAAUCUAUUAUUUCUGCAAAUAUUAUAGGCACAGGCUGCAAUGGUUAUACUUUCAUUUUUUUUAUCCAUUCCCUAGAUAGAGCUUUGCGUACACACAAAAUAUACUUUGUCAUCAAUAUAUUAUAUACUAUUAUACACACAGUGACAAGCUAUGAAUGUUUGUGGUACACGUCCA